rnacentral:tRNA from 1 species
GGUGUAGCUCAGUGGUAGAGUACCAGAUUGAAACGUUGGAAGCACUGGGUUCAAUCCCCAGCAUC